rnacentral:rRNA from 1 species
CGCUAUCACUCCUACGGGGAGGCAGCAGUGGGGAAUAUUGCACAAUGGGGGGAAACCCUGAUGCAGCCAUGCCGCGUGUGUGAAGGAGGCCUUCGGGUUGUAAAGCACUUUCAGUAGGGAGGAAGGUAGUGUAGUUAACACCUGCACUAUUUGACGUUACCUACAGAAGAAGCACCGGCUAACUCCGUGCCAGCAGCCGCGGUAAUACGGAGGGUGCGAGCGUUAAUCGGAAUUACUGGGCGUAAAGCGCAUGCAGGCGGCCUGUUAAGUCAGAUGUGAAAGCCCGGGGCUUAACCUCGGAAUUGCAUUUGAAACUGGCAGGCUAGAGUCUUGUAGAGGGGGGUAGGAAUUUCAGGUGUAGCGGUGAAAUGCGUAGAGAUCUGAAGGAAUACCAGUGGCGAAGGCGGCCCCCUCGGACAAAGACUGACGCUCAGAUGCGAAAGCGUGGGGAGCAAACAGGAUUAGAUACCCUGGUAG